rnacentral:lncRNA from 1 species
AAGAGGGUAUAGGAGAUCUAUCAGCGGCUCGAUUAGCUCCGAGUGGGCGAUUUGGGGCUUCCAGUAUCUCUUGUUUUACGCGAACGUCCAUCUCAAUAAAGGAAAAAGGUAAAACCCAGGGGAAAUAAUAAAGUAAGGAUUUAUGAAGAAGCAGAAGAAGACUGAAAUGUGUAGGAGCAGACGGAUUCGUAUAUCGACGAGGUUGAGCCGUUCGAU